UUAGGGUUAGGGUUGGAGCUAGGGUUAGGGUUAGGGUUAGGGUUGGAGUUAGGGUUAGUGUUGGAGCUAGGGUUAGGGUUGGGCUUGGAGCUAGGAUUUUUCUGAGUGCAAUGAACCAACUCCCGAGUCUCUAGGACGUUCCUAAAAAAAAUUGAUUUUUUCCCAUAGGAAUGCAUGGGUUAGGGUUAGGGUUAGGGUUGGAGCUAGGGUUAGGGUUAGGGUUAGGGUUGGAGUUAGGGUUAGUGUUGGAGCUAGGGUUAGGGUUGGGCUUGGAGCUAGGAUUUUUCUGAGUGUAAUGAACCAACUCCCGAGUCUCUAGGACGUUCCUAAAAAAAAUUGAUUUUUUCCCAUAGGAAUGCAUGGGUUAGGGUUAGGGUUAGGGUUGGAGCUAGGGUUAGGGUUAGGGUUAGGGUUAGGGUUGGAGUUAGGGUUAGUGUUGGAGCUAGGGUUAGGGUUGGGCUUGGAGCUAGGAUUUUUCUGAGUGCAAUGAACCAAGUGCCAACCCAAUUUUUGACCUUCCAGAAUUGUGUUAGGAGCACGUUUCAGGUCACGGGGAGUCUAUAGAACCUAAUUCUGGGGGAAGUUUUUUGAAAAGUUUACUUAGGGUUUGGGUUAGGGUUAGGGUUGGAGCUAGGGUUAGGGUUAGGGUUAGGGUUGGAGCCAGGGUUAGGGUUAGGGUUGGAGUUAGGGUUAGUGUUGGAGCUAGGGUUAGGGUUGGGCUUGGAGCUAGGAUUUUUCUGAGUGUAAUGAACCAACUCCCGAGUCUCUAGGACGUUCCUAAAAAAAUUUGUUUUUUUUCCCAUAGGAAUGCAUGGGUUAGGGUUAGGGUUAGGGUUGGAGCUAGGGUUAGGGUUAGGGUUAGGGUUGGAGUUAGGGUUAGUGUUGGAGCUAGGGUUAGGGUUGGGCUUGGAGCUAGGAUUUUUCUGAGUGCAAUGAACCAACUCCCGAGUCUCUUGGACGUUCCUAAAAAAAAAUAGAUUUUUUCCCAUAGGAAUGCAUGGGUUAGGGUUAGGGUUAGGGUUGGAGCUAGGGUUAGGGUUAGGGUUAGGGUUGGAGUUAGGGUUAGUGUUGGAGCUAGGGUUAGGGUUGGGCUUGGAGCUAGGAUUUUUCUGAGUGCAAUGAACCAACUCCCGAGUCUCUAGGGCGUUCCUAAAAAAAUUUGAUUUUUCACCAUAGGAAUGCAUGGGUUAGGGUUAGGGUUAGGGUUAGGGUUAGGGUUGGAGCUAGGGUUAGGGUUAGGGUUAGGGUUGGAGUUAGGGUUAGUGUUGGAGCUAGAGUUAGGGUUGGGCUUGGAGCUAGGAUUUUUCUGAGUGCAAUGAACCAAGUGCCAACCCAA